rnacentral:rRNA from 1 species
GACGAACGCUGGCGGCGUGCCUAAUACAUGCAAGUUGAGCGCUGAAGGUUGGUACUUGUACCAACUGGAUGAGCAGCGAACGGGUGAGUAACGCGUGGGGAAUCUGCCUUUGAGCGGGGGACAACCUUUGGAAACGAAUGCUAAUACCGCAUAAAAACUUUAAACACAAGUUUUAAGUUUGAAAGAUGCAAUUGCAUCACUCAAAGAUGAUCCCGCGUUGUAUUAGCUAGUUGGUGAGGUAAAGGCUCACCAAGGCGAUGAUACAUAGCCGACCUGAGAGGGUGAUCGGCCACAGUGAGACUGAGAAACGGCCCAAACGCCUACGGGAGGCAGCAGUAGGGAAUCUUCGGCAAUGGACGAAAGUCUGACCGAGCAACGCCGCGUGAGUGAAGAAGGUUUUCGGAUCGUAAAACUCUGUUGGUAGAGAAGAACGUUGGUGAGAGUGGAAAGCUCAUCAAGUGACGGUAACUACCCAGAAAGGGACGGCUAACUACGUG